UGGCUCAGGAUGAACGCUAGCGACAGGCUUAACACAUGCAAGUCGAGGGGCAGCAUAAAAGUAGCAAUACGUUGGUGGCGACCGGCGCACGGGUGAGUAACGCGUAUGCAACCUACCUAUCAGGAGGGGAAUAACCCGGCGAAAGUCGGACUAAUACCGCAUAAAACAGGGGCACCGCAUGGUGAUAUUUGUUAAAGAAAUUCGCUGAUAGAUGGGCAUGCGUUCCAUUAGGUAGUUGGUGAGGUAACGGCUCACCAAGCCGACGAUGGAUAGGGGAACUGAGAGGUUGGUCCCCCACACUGGUACUGAGACACGGACCAGACUCCUACGGGAGGCAGCAGUGAGGAAUAUUGGUCAAUGGGCGGGAGCCUGAACCAGCCAAAGUCGCGUGAAGGAAGAAGGAUCUAUGGUUCGUAAACUUCUUUUGUAGGGGAAUAAAGUGCAGGACGUGUCCUGUUUUGUAUGUACCCUGGGAAUAAGGAUCGGCUAACUCCGUGCCAGCCGCCGC
rnacentral:rRNA from 1 species